UAAUCUUGGUGCACCUUCGCUGUCUGUCC
rnacentral:piRNA from 1 species